CCAUAGCUCAAUUGGAUAGAGCGUCUGGCUACGGACCAGAAGGUUAGGGGUUCAAAUCCCUUUGGGU
rnacentral:tRNA from 3 species